rnacentral:tRNA from 1 species
CAGCGCGUGGUGUAGCAGCAACAUGCCCGGCUUGGGACCGGGUGACCGCAGGUGCAAAUCCUGCCGCGCUGACCA